AUCCAGCUGACGAGUCCCAAAUAGGGCGAAACGUUCGUCCUGGGU
rnacentral:hammerhead_ribozyme from 1 species